ACCCCGUCAAGAAGCCGGAGGUUCUGCUGAGGUGCAACACAUCUCAGUGUGCUGAGACUGCCCUCAAUGUUGCCCCCAAGAACUGCAAAGCCAUCCUGGAAACAGCGGCCCAGCUGCCCACUGGAGUCACCAAUUCCUAAGAUGCAGAUAAGGGAACAGCCCAGAGGAGGGGGAGCACUUCCAGAGGGAGGGAUGCGGUGAGACUUCCUGCAGCAGGGUAGCACUGGAGCUGGGUGUUAAGGAGUGAGUGAGCUUUGGGCUUAUGGAUUUAACAGAGGAAACCAAGAAAAGAAGAGGCGGUGUUGCGGGAACAGUGAGCAGUUGAUGAUUUUUAUUUUGUUCUCUGGUCCGCUUGGGAACAUUUUUGUGGCAAACACAGCAUGAAGGAUAGCGAAGAAUUAAUACUGAAGAGAUAGGCCAGGGCAGGUUAUGAAGGUAUCCUGCAAUGGUUCAUUUGCUUUUGAUGGGAUUAUCACUUUGACAGAUGUGCUUGCAAUUAACUGGGGGCUUUCUGCUUCCAAUCCAAAUUCCCACAGGUGGAUCACUGGCUCUUGGGGAGCAAAAACCCUUCUUUGUUUGUUUUUGCUUCUCCCAGAGCCUGGGCAGAGCUCCCCAUUCCUGGAUCCUACGUUGAUAUACACUGAAUUGAAUUAUACUAAAGGGUGCACCCAAGAGUGCAUGAGCUAAGUAAAAUGUAAUUUGUGGGACCUCAUGUGGACAUUUCAGGUCCAUGUGUACAAGAUAAAGGAGAGAAAAUCCUGGGGGACACCACAGGCCUGGGAAAAUGACCUCCUACUCA
rnacentral:lncRNA from 1 species